rnacentral:rRNA from 1 species
AACGAACGCUGGCGGCGUGCCUAACACAUGCGAGUCGAACGAGACCUUCGGGUCUAGUGGCGCACGGGUGCGUAACGAGUGGGAACCUGCAUGUAGGUUAGGAAUAACUCAGAGAGAUUUAAGCUAAUACAGGAUGAUGUCUUCGGGCCAAAGAUUUAUCGCCUUUAGAUGGGCCCGCGUUGGCUUCGCUGGUUGGGGGUGUAAAGGCCUACCAAGGCGACGAUCCAUAGCUGGUCUGAGAGGAUGAUCAGCCACACUGGGACUGAGACACGGCCCAGACUCCUACGCGAGGCAGCAGUGGGGAAUAUUGGACAAUGGGCGAAAGCCUGAUCCAGCAAUGCCGCGUGAGUGAUGAAGGCCUUAGGGUUGUAAAGCUCUUUUACCCGAGAUGAUAAUGACAGUAUCGGGAGAAUAAGCUCCGGCUAACUCCGUG